GCCAGGUAUGGUGGUGCACACCUAUAAUCCCAGCAGCUCGGGAGGCUGAGACAGGAGGAAUGCAAGUUUAAAGCCAGGCUUAGCAACUACGAGGUGCUAAGCAGCUCAGUGAGACCCUGUCUCUA
rnacentral:sRNA from 1 species